rnacentral:rRNA from 1 species
CACCGCGGUUACACGAGCGGGCCCGAGUUGACAAAGUUCGGCGUAAAGCGUGGUUAAUGAAGUGCUUACUAAGGCCAAACGCCCUUAAAGCUGUUAUAAGCAUAUAAGGGAUGGAAGCUCCCCUACGAAAGUGGCCUUAAACCCCAUGACCCCACGAAAGCUAGGGAA